rnacentral:lncRNA from 1 species
GUCUGGGGCAGACCUUUCUUUAUUCCCAAGGAACCCAUACAGUGGGAAGAGCACAUCCUCAGGGAAGCACUGCAAAAGCAUUGAUCUCUUUAUGCAGGAAGAAGACUGUACUCACUUUCCUGUGUUUGACAGCACAUUUGUGUCCUAUUCAGGGAACAGAGAUGGUAUUUGGCAAAGUUGUUUGACCAAGCACAAGCUCCCAGCACGACUGACUCUGGAUCUGUGGGCUCAGAGCAGUAUUGUUGCCGAUGGAAAAAGGACUGAAGAGAGACGCACACACAUGCACCCCAGGUUAGCUUCAGACUUACUGUGUAGUUGAGGACUGUCUUGAAAUUGCGAUCUCCCUGCCCCAGCCUCCCAGGUCUGGAUUUGUAAGAAUACACAUCCAUGCCCUGUUUGUGUGUGCCUGGGAUCAAUCCCAGGGCUCUAUGCAUGCUAGGCAAGCAUGUUAGAACUAGGUUAACUCCCCAGUCCCUUAGCUCAGCAUUUUCAAGUGUAUUCUUUAAAAAUUAUAUGCUUGGGGGGCAGAAGCGGGGGGGGCAGGGGUUGGGGAGUUGACUUAACAGUUAAGAUCACUUGUGGCUCUUGCACAAGACCCAGGUUUGGUUCCCAGAACCUGAGGACCAGAUGGUGGCUACCCAUAAUUCCAGUUCUAAGGGAUCCAGCACCUUGUUCUGAUUUCUG